GACGAACGCUGGCGGCGUGCUUAACACAUGCAAGUCGAACGGUGACGGAGAGCUUGCUCUCCUGAUCAGUGGCGAACGGGUGAGUAACACGUGGGCAACCUGCCCAGACUUCGGGAUAACGCUUCGAAAGAGGUGCUAAUACCGGAUACGAGCUCCUUGGGCAUCCUUGGAGUUGGAAAGUUUUUCGGUCUGGGAUGGGGCCCGCGGCCUAUCAGCUAGUUGGUGAGGUAACGGCUCACCAAGGCGACGACGGGUAGCCGGCCUGAGAGGGCGACCGGCCACACUGGGACUGAGACACGGCCCAGACUCCUACGGGAGGCAGCAGUGGGGAAUAUUGCGCAAUGGGCGAAAGCCUGACGCAGCAACGCCGCGUGAGGGAUGACGGCC
rnacentral:rRNA from 1 species